UGGGGAAUAUUGGACAAUGGGCGCAAGCCUGAUCCAGCCAUGCCGCGUGAGUGAUGAAGGCCCUAGGGUUGUAAAGCUCUUUCACCGGUGAAGAUAAUGACGGUAACCGGAGAAGAAGCCCCGGCUAACUUCGUGCCAGCAGCCGCGGUAAUACGAAGGGGGCUAGCGUUGUUCGGAUUUACUGGGCGUAAAGCGCACGUAGGCGGACUUUUAAGUCAGGGGUGAAAUCCCGGGGCUCAACCCCGGAACUGCCUUUGAUACUGGAAGUCUUGAGUAUGGUAGAGGUGAGUGGGAUUCCGAGUGUAGAGGUGAAAUUCGUAGAUAUUCGGGGGAACACCAGUGGCGAAGGCGGCUCACUGGACCAUUACUGACGCUGAGGUGCGAAAGCGUGGGGAGCAAACAGG
rnacentral:rRNA from 1 species